rnacentral:rRNA from 1 species
CAUGAAGCGGAAUUGCUAGUAAUCGCGGAUCAGCAUGCCGCGGUGAAUACGUUCCCGGGCCUUGUACACACCGCCCGUCACACCAUGGGAGUCGGUAACACCCGAAGCCUGUAGUCUAACCGCAAGGAGGACGCAGUCGAAGGUGGGAUUGAUGACUGGGGUGAAGUCGUAACAAGGUACC